UCAAUUCGCUGUUUGGGAAGCAAAAUUAGAAAAUGGGAUAACUUAUCCCAUUUGCUCAGCUUAUUCCACUGGAAGGGACUGACCUAACCAAUCUCAACUCUUAGGUCACUUGUGUCCUGCUCUCUGCGAAGUAGCUGUCGUUCUCUCGCUUGAAGGUGUCUCUCGCAGGACCGUUCUCCACGUCUCUCCGAUUUGAAACCCCCGAUGAGGCUUCGAUUUGCAAAAUUAGGGCUUCGAUUUAUGAGGAAGAAGACUUAAUUUUGUGGUCUACAUCUACAACUCUUAAAUAUAGAGAGCCAUCUCAAACUACUGCAAAUUUGGAAGGCUGCAAAGGUGCUUCCCACCAUACAAAGUUUAGGUGCUGCAAUCAUUCUUUUGAGGGCCAAUCUGCUGUAAAUAGGCAAAGAAUGGUAUACAAAGCCAUAUGGGAAGAGCUUCAGAGUAGGGGUGGGCAAAAACCGAACUAGACCGACCAAACCAACCAAACCGACAUAUUUGGUUUAGUUUGGAUUGGUUUUAACUUAUUAAUUGGUUUGAUUCAGUUAAAUAUAUAAAAAACCAAAACGGUCGGUUUGGGUUGCGGGUUGGAUGAAAUUUUACCUAACCCAGCCCGCACCAAACCGAUCAUCAAUUAAACUAACAUUUAUUUUACUUUUAUAUAUAAAUAUAGUAUAUAAUUAUAAAAUAAAACUAUUAUUUUAUUUAUUAUGAGAAUGGAA